UUUGGCCGCCUGGCGGACCUCUGGG
rnacentral:misc_RNA from 1 species